UCUAGGAAAGAAGCAUUUUCAUCAGGUGACAUGUUCCCACAGCUUCAGAUGAAGCUGCCACCAUGAAAGGGGAGUCAGCUUAACCACAGGCCUGAUAAACAAGGAGAGGCAGAAGAGGCCACACCCUGACCCUGCUGUUCUUGCAGUCUAAGCUAUCUCUGGACAUUUUGGUUGUUUGAGACAAAUACAUCCCAUCUGUCACUUCAGUUACUGGAGAGUGAAGAGAACUGCAGAGGUCACUUGAUCACAGCCCAGCUGAGAGGAGAAGGCAUUCAAUAGAAGUCACCAUGCCUGGUGCCCAUGUGUGGUCUCCUGGCUUUCCUGGCUCCUGGCUCCUGGUCUCCUGGC